rnacentral:rRNA from 1 species
AGAGUUUGAUCAUGGCUCAGAACGAACGCUGGCGGCGUGGAUAAGACGUGCAAGUCGAACGCUGAUUUCAGGGUAGCAAUAUUCUGGAGUCGGAGUGGCGCAAGGGUGCGUAACACGUGGGUAAUUUGCCGUGAAGACUGGAAUAACUUGCUGAAAGGCGAGCUAAUACCGGAUGUGACGUUUGGGAGGCAUCUUCCGAAUUUCAAAGUUGGGGACCGCAAGGCCUGACGCUUCACGAUAAGCCCGCGGCCUAUCAGCUAGUUGGUAAGGUAACGGCUUACCAAGGCUAAGACGGGUAGCUGGUCUGAGAGGACGACCAGCCUCACUGGAACUGAGACACGGUCCAGACACCUACGGGUGGCAGCAGUCGAGAAUUUUUCACAAUGGGCGAAAGCCUGAUGGAGCGACGCCGCGUGGGGGAUGAAUGGCUUCGGCCCGUAAACCCCUGUCAUUUGCGAACAAACCUUGUCAUUUAAAAGAUGACGAGCUGAUUGUAGCGAAAGAGGAAGGGACGGCUAACUCUGUGCCAGCAGCCGCGGUAAUACAGAGGUCCCAAGCGUUGUUCGGAUUCACUGGGCGUAAAGGGUGCGUAGGUGGUCGGGUCAGUCUGAUGUGAAAUCUCCGAGCCUAACUCGGAAACUGCAUUGGAUACUGCUCGGCUGGAGGGUUGGAGGGGGGACUGGAAUUCUCGGUGUAGCAGUGAAAUGCGUAGAUAUCGAGAGGAACACCAGUGGCGAAGGCGAGUCCCUGGACAACUCCUGACACUGAGGCACGAAAGCUAGGGGAGCAAACAGGAUUAGAUACCCUAGUAGUCC